rnacentral:tRNA from 1 species
AGCCCGGUCGUCUAGCGGUCAAUCCUGGCCAGAGGGACCAUGGAUGCGGGGCUUUGGACCCCGUGACGCCGGUUCGAAUCCGGCCCGGGCUA